UUCUCUCCACACCUCACCCCAAGUCUCUCUCUCUACCCCUCGCCCUCCCCAAUCCCUUCUCUCUCUAUCUAAAGCAAAGCAAAAGACUCUCCCUCGCCCUGCACCCACGCUCCCCAAGCCUCUCUCUAUCUCUAAACCUCGCCCUCCCCAAUCUCCUCUCUCUCUAUCUAAAGCCAAAGAAGGUUCUUUUCCUUCUUCGAAUCAAAAGCCCAAGAGGAUUUUAUCUCCAUGUGAUCAAGGUCACGCAUAGGAAGUGUGACUGAGCAGGUAUAUCUGAGUGCAUUGAUGUUCAGCCGGAGAAAGGUAUUGUAGAUGACAUAAACAUCAAAACAAUUAGCAGAACGCUACCAGAGUCAAUGUGGUGAACUCGAACAAGUAGAUAUUGCAUAUAAAGGCUAACUUCCAUCUACAUAUUAGAAGAUGGACUGAUCUCCCCAAAACUAAAUACAUGAUAUAAAGCAUGAAUUCCCAGUAAAUUAUCACUAACGGAAGAAGGCUGAUGUACACCUACUAACAAUACUUUAACAUGAUGAAAUUUGUUGGUAAGCAGAAAUUGCAAAUGCAUGAUCUAUAGUGUGAAACAUAUAAUGGAAGCUUCUCUAAAAUACUCUAGAAGUGUUCAAACGGGUUUUUGUCUUGCUGCAAGAACAUCAGCUAGUGCCAAGUCCAAGCAACAUAAAAGUAAUGGCCCACCAGUUAUAAACCAAUCUCAACUAAGAUUCUUUUUGCAAGUGUUGUAGUUUCAAUGAGUUUUAGAAAUUAGUUUUUCAUUUCUUUUCUUUCUUUAGUGGUUCAUUGAGAAAUUUAUGCAUCGAAUUUCAACUACGAUUUACCCAAAUUCUACAAUUCUAUAAUUUUAAAAAAGUAUGAUUCUACAAAAAAAAAUAUAAUUCUACAAUUUUCAGUUUCAAGUGAACAAUGUGGGUAAUUUUUGGCCCAAAUGGAUGUCUUCGUGGUUUUGAUUUAUUUAGGCAUCAUAAUUUUUAUGAACAAGCCCCAAAAAUCUCUAAUGUAUCAACAUUAUCUAUUUUAGUCAUUUUUUUGUAGGUACUCACAAUCAACCUUGAGUCCUUUCUUACAGGUACAUAAGUAUAUGGAAACUCCUCCAAAUGAAACCAUGCUUGUAGAGGGCUUUGCUUCAAUUGUAGAAAACCCAUUAGAAACAGUUCCUAGUGAUUUAGUUCCAUACCAUGGAAAAAUAUUUUCAAGUCAUGAUGAUGCUUAUGCAUUUUACAAGAGUUUUGCCAAGGCAUGGGGGUUUUCAGUGCGUCGUCAACGAACAAUUGGAAAAGAAGGUGAUGACAAUGGAACUACUAGAAGAUAAUAUGUUUGCCAUAGGGCGGGCCAUUUAACAAACAAAGAAUUGUCUGCAAAUAAAGGAGAAAGAGAUCGAUCAUCAAAGAGAUACAAUUUUGGAGCACAUAUGAGUAUCGCACAAGUCAUAGAGUCUGAUAUUUCAUAUUGGCUUGUUGUAACCUUUGAUAAUUUACACAAUCAUGAUGUUCUCGAGCCACAAGAAGUUAGAGUUUUGCCUGCUGAUCGUAAUAUUUCAGAAAGCUACAAGCAUCGUGUUCAACAAUUUUCCAAAGUUGGUAUAUGUGUUAGAGAUAUGAUGCGGUUGUUUGAAAUAGAGAGAAGUCUUAAACCAGGGGAAUUACCAUUUAUAGAUAAGGAUAUCUAUAACUUUGUAUGUGCCAUGAACAAUGCGAACCGUGACAAUGAUGUUCAUAUUCUCUUAACAAAAGGUAAGCAAAUGGAUAGAGAUAAAGAUUUUAAGUACGAUUUUACAGUUAGUGAAGAUAAUAGGUUGGAGCAUAUUGUUUGGUCCCAUGGUUAUUGUUCUCGUGCAUAUAAGAUGUUCGAUGAUUCAGUAGUUUUCGAUACAACUUACCGGUCAACUAGUUACUCUAUGUCAUUCAGCAUUUGGGUAGGUGUCAAUAACCAUGGUGACACAUGUUUGUUUGGGUGUGUUCUACUACGAGAUGAAAGAGUUCAAUCUUUUUCAUGGACAAUGAAGGUCUAAUGAAUGGAAGGAUGCCACAAACAAUCCUAACUGAUCAGGACAUGGCUCUCAAAGAAGCAAUCUGUAAGAAAUUCCCCAACACUAACAUGCAUUUUGUAUAUGGUACUUAUUAUCAAAAUUAACUUGCUGGUUUUCCCUCCUCCUUGGUAAAAGAUACAAUGAGUUUGACACCGAUUUUUACAAGUUAUAUAAUCUUGAGUCCAUUGAAGAUUUUGAAGAAGGCUGGCAUGCAUUAGUCAAUAAGUUUGCAUUGCAUUCAAAUAGACAUAUUAACAACCUGUGGAAUUUAAAAGAGUUUUGGGCAUUACCACACUUGAGAAGCCAUUUUUUUGCUGGAAUGAAGGCAAUGGGACGUUCAGAGUCAAUCAAUGCAUCUGUGAAACGAUUCUUGGGUUCACAAACUCUACUUAGUGAAUUGAUAGAUCAGUUGUUAUUGAGAUGAGAGAUGUAGUGGGUCAAAGAUGUUUGAUGCAACAAAAGUCCAACAAUGUAGAUGUUCGAACAAUGUGCCCUUUCGAAGACCAUCCAGCGCACGUCUUAAGUCCUUAUGCAUUUUCUAAUAUACAAGAAGAAAUUAUUUCAUCUUGACACACUUUUCAAAUAAAGAAAAAGGGCAAAAGGUUUAUUUGAUGGCUGAAGAUAAUGUUAUGAAUUGCAGUUGUAAAAGGUUUUGAGUUUACAGGUAUCAUUUGCAUGCAUUCUCUUCAUGUUCUCUUCAAGGAAAAUUUUAUUCAAAUUCCAGGUCGAUAUCUGCCAAAACGUUGGAGGCAUUAUACAUCAUUGACAUCAAAUGUUAGCUCGAGCACAUCAGCUGCAUAUGUUGAGCGGGUCUAAACUAUACAAUCAUUAGCGUCAACACUUGGUACAAAAGGUGCAAGAUUUGAUGAUUGUUACAAGUUCAUUAUGGAGCAAUUUUCAAGAAUUUUGGAACGUGUUGAAGAAGUAGAAUACAUGAGGUCUCCUAUGGUUGAUGAAACAUCUGAUGCAAGUCUAGCAACUAAAGAGGAUGAAAAUAGACUUCAUUGUGAGAGCAUCCAUGUAAAAAACCAUGUUCGGUCUAUCACAAAAGGGUGGCCUCCUGAAAAAAGGUUAAAGCCCCAUAUUGAAGUUGCCAAGAAACCUAGAUAUUGUAAGGUUCCUUCAUGUGACCAAACUGGCCAUGAUUGUAGGAAUUGUCCAUUAAGAAGAGGUUAAUUUAGUAGGUAAUCAUUAUAUGUUAGAGAACACCAUUCUUGGUGUGAAGUUGACACAAGGAGCUAGAAAUGCUACUUUGCAUAUUAGAUUUUUGAACAUUUAAAUGUGACAACUUUGUAAUAUGUAAUUUUGGAGUUGUACAUAAUGAUUAUUGUAAGGUUGAAAUAUGGAUGUGAUAUUGAUGUUGU